UACGGAGGGUGCAAGCGUUAUCCGGAUUCACUGGGUUUAAAGGGUGCGUAGGUGGGCAGGUAAGUCAGUGGUGAAAUCUUUGGGCUUAACCCGAAAACUGCCAUUGAUACUAUUUGUCUUGAAUAUUGUGGAGGUCAGCGGAAUAUGUCAUGUAGCGGUGAAAUGCUUAGAUAUGACAUAGAACACCAAUUGCGAAGGCAGCUGGCUGCACAUAUAUUGACACUGAUGCACGAAAGCGUGGGGAUCAAACAGG
rnacentral:rRNA from 1 species